AUUGAACGCUGGCGGCAUGCCUUACACAUGCAAGUCGAACGGCAGCGGGGGAGAAGCUUGCUUUUCCUGCCGGCGAGUGGCGAACGGGUGAGUAAUACAUCGGAACGUGCCCUGUAGUGGGGGAUAACUAGUCGAAAGAUUAGCUAAUACCGCAUACGACCUGAGGGUGAAAGUGGGGGUCCGCAAGGCCUCAUGCUAUAGGAGCGGCCGAUGUCUGAUUAGCGAGUUGGUGGGGUAAAGGCCUACCAAGGCGACGAUCAGUAGCUGGUCUGCGAGGACGAUCGGCCACACUGGUACUGGGACACGGCCCGGAGUCCUACGGGAGGCAUCAGUGGGGAAUGUUGGACAAUGGGCGAAAGCCUGAUCCAGCAAGCCGCGUGUGUGAAGAAGGCCUUCGGGUUGUAAAGCACUUUUGUCCGGAAAGAAAUGGCUCUGGUUAAUACCUGGGGUCGAUGACGGUACCGGAAGAAUAAGGACCGGCUAACUACGUGCCAGCCGCCGCGGUAA
rnacentral:rRNA from 1 species